GCGGCUCAGGUAGUCCCGCAGGAGCCCGUUGAUGGCCGUGCGGCGACAGCUGCCCUGCGGCACGAUGGACACCAAGGUCCUGUCGGCCAGGCUCUGGUCGAAGAGCAUCCCCCCGCACUUGAACUCCACGCAGGCUCCCGAGGCGUCGCCCAGCAGCGGAUCCCGCACGCUCCGGCUGUCCCGCAGCCCGUAGAGCUGUCCCCGAGUGCGGGGGUGGCUGCCCCCGACGUUCCGCGACCUCACCAUGUACUCCUGCGGCCCCUCCAGCCGCACCUUGAUGAAGCACGCCCGGAACUCCUGCGGGUUGGGCCACCACGCCAGGUAAUCGCCGGUCCAGGAGGUGACGUCGCUCUCCUUGAAGGGCACCACGUUGUACUCGUACCUGUCCACCUCCACGCGGUAGAAGCGCAGGUGGUUGGCCCCGACCGGCGCCUCCUCGCACUCCCGGAGGCUCCGGUAGGAGUAGACGGGCCCGUUCCUCUCGUCGGCGUCGUUGGGGUCGGGUUUGGCCACGUUGAUCUGGAACGCCGUCUUCUUCAGCGCCGCGUCCUCGUGGUCCGAGCGCCGGUAGCCCAGCUUGCCCAGGUAGGGCUGCGCCACCCCCACGGCGUUGGGGUUCAGCUUGGGGCUGGAGGCCACGGCUUCCAGCUCCUCGCCGCCCAGCGUGGCCGUCACCAGCGCCGUGUAGGCGUCGGGGCGCCGGCCGUCGCAGAAGGCGGGCAAGCAGGCGCCGUUGGGCCCGGUGACCACGCUGUCGAAGCGGCCCCAGGCCCGCGGGUUGCUGGGGAAGCCGGGCUGGGGCUCCAGGUUGAUGAGGUUGAUGACCACCCCUUCCAGCUGCUCGUAGGGGUUGAACUUCUCGUUGCUGUAGGCCCUGACCUUGACGAAGCAGCGGCGAUCCUCGGGCACGUCCAGGUUGAAGAGGCGCCGCUCGCGGAUCUCCAGGUUGCCCACCAGGAAGGUCCUCUCCUCCCUCUUCCUCCGGCCGCCGGCCGGCCGCAGCACUCCCUCCUCCUCCCACAGGCCGCUCUCGGGGUUCAAGGACCACAACUUCAUCUUCUUCAGGUGCUCCGGCAUCCACACCUGCCCCGCGUCCAUCCUCACCUGCACCGGCCCCGCCUGCAGCUCCGCGCCGCUGCCGCCCUCGCGGAACUCCACGGCGAACAUCCCGUAGGUGCGCAGGGGGACGAUUUCCCCCUCGGCGUCGGCGAAGCUCAGGUCGCUGGAGGCGGCGCUGGCCGUGCUCACAUCCCGCGGGUCCACGAAGGUGACGCUGGCUUGGACCGUGCCGUUAAAAACCUCUCCGGACGGCCGCAGGAAAACCCCGGCCGGCAGCAGCAGCUCCCCGACGGGCUCCCGGCCGCCGGCCUCGCCCAGGGGGAUGGAGUUGCUCCGGCCGCCGUCCAGCUCCACCGGCUCCUUCUUGCGCAGCAUCUUCACCUCGUGGUACACCGCUCCUCCUCGCGGGUCGAAGGGCAGCACCUUGACGGCGUCCACCAAGCGCUGCUGGCCGUCCACGAAGCGAGCCACCAGGCGCUGCGUGUCGGGCGGCACCUCGAUGGUGAAGGAGCCCUGGUAGCCGGUGAAGCCCACUUUGGUGGCCCCCAGGAAGAUGUGGCCGAAGCGCAGCGGUUCCCCGGUGUCGGCCGCCGUCACCCGGCCCCGCACCAACAGCCGGGGCUGGGCGCAGGGCCCGCAGCCGCACUCGGUCACCACCUUGAGGGGCAGCAGGGAGCCGGCGCACGGCACCUGCCGCAGCUCCAUCCUGCGCACCCCGCAGCACAGCCCCGAGCUCUGCCCGCAGCCCGAGGGCUCGGAGGGGCCGCCCGGGCACGGCGAGGCCGGGCAGCGCCCCACGUCGUAGAAACGGGAGCCGCCGGAGUCCUGCGGGCACUCGC
rnacentral:lncRNA from 1 species